GUUGCCCGCGGCAACAGGAAUCUGUUUCUGCUCAUCGUCAAGAUUCGGUCCUGGGUCACGUCCGGCGAAUGCUCAGCGUCCAGGAGCCUCCAGAGCUGGUCCCCCCGCGACCCGGGUUCAAACGCCACAGCAGCGACGCCACCGGAACCUUCUUCCCCUUCAUGCCCAACUACAGGGUCCACCCCGGUGGGGAGGGCCGGGCUCCGCCCCACACACCCCUCCCCUCUCAAGGAGACACCUUGGACACGCUGAGAGAGCUCAGCAGCCCCAUCUCCCGGGACUCCCAAGCACCCCCCCAACUCCCCAAGGUUGUCAUCACCCCCUCGGCCUCCCGGAAGCCAGGGCCUCAGGUAGACUCGGCCUCCCCAGCACAGGCGGCUCCGAAAGGGGACAGCGGCAG
ensembl:lncRNA